rnacentral:rRNA from 1 species
UUCCUACGGGGGGCAGCAGUGGGGAAUAUUGCACAAUGGGGGAAACCCUGAUGCAGCAACGCCGCGUGAAGGAAGACGGUUUUCGGAUUGUAAACUUCUUUUCUUAGUGGAGAAGAAAGUGACGGUAGCUAAGGAAUAAGCAUCGGCUAACUACGUGCCAGCAGCAGCGGUAAUACGUAGGAUGCGAGCGUUAUCCGGAAUUACUGGGUGUAAAGGGAGCGCAGGCGGGACUGCAAGGUGGAUGGGAAAUCACGCAGCUUAACUACGG